UCCUCCGGGAUCCGGGACCCCUCUGACCCCCGGGAUCCUCCGGUACCGCCCGGGGCCCCUUAGACCUCUGAGGCCCCUCAGACCCUGCUGGGAUACCCCGGGCCCUCCAGCCCCCCGGAAUGUCGAAGCUGUGCCUUUGAGCCAAUUAACCGUUCCCCUCAGGCUCGAGGCUGCAAACCUUUGUGAGGAGGGGCCAGGAACGCACCUGUCAGGUGAAACGAUGCUGAGGGUUGUCGUUCCCAGUGGGACUUGCACUUGAACCGUACAAGAGCAAGCUGAAGUCCUGUGCCGUGCAGAACUCUGCCAAGGUUUUUUGUCUCAUUAAACCAAGUGGUGUGACGAGUGUGACAGAUUUUCCCAUGGCAGAGGUGUGAAAUGUGAAGUAAAAGGUUAGGAUGUGCAUCAAUUCAUGGAAGCGGAUGCCAAAUGCCCGUGGAGUCGCUGAAAGAAUAUUUAUCAACUUUUCUCUCUCCACCACAUUUCCAAAAAAAACUCAACAGGAAAAAAGACCUGCAGCCUCAUUAUUAUGUCAGUAUAACUUGUGCCAUGAGGAGAUCAAGCAGGCAUGUCAGUGUGGGACUGUCAGCGUGAAGAGACCAACUGUGGCUGUGUGUGCAAGCAAGUUCUGGGCACACCAUGUCAGGGGCACUGCUGAGGUUCUUCCAGGCUGCUGGAAUGCCCUUUUUUCCUCCCUUUUUUUUUUUUUGUUUUUUUUGAUGGACGAGUAAAUUAUUAGGAUGUGGACUUGUCAAACAGACUUGCCAGGUUUUCUGCAGUCAUCCCUAGUGGACUGCCUAAAAAAGGGCUGGCACUGCAUCACAUGGAAUGACCGAUGAUAUGUCAUAUAUUUUUAAUGGGCAAAAUGUUUUAAUAAACAUUCUCCCUCCUAAAACACUGGAUUUAAAAUAGGUUUUAGCCUUGAGCCAUGUAGCUACCCAGCUGUGAAUUUUAUAAGGCAACAAUCUCCACAUCAUUAGAUGUUAUGACUGAUAUACCAGUGAUGGCAAUAGUAAGUAUUUCCACACACUAAAAAAGUUUCUGAUAGCAGUUAAAGGAAGUAUGGCUCUACUUGAAAGAUUUUCUCAGCUCAAAAUUAAAGCCAUUUUCUGAAAUAAUGAAACCAGGCAUGUACUGUCUUCUAGUGAACCACAAGUUCUAAGUAUUGAAGCCUUGCUGAUUGCUGCUCCUGACAGUUUUAAUCACAUUGCCUGACACUUUUGGAAAUCAACAUUAUUUUUCUUUUCAUGUGAUUUCUGCAUCUUCAGCCAAUUAAAAUGCUGCUGAAAUGUU